rnacentral:pre_miRNA from 1 species
AACUUUUAUAAACCAGUGUUUUUAGUCCCUUAGGACAGACGUCAUGUAGGAAACAUUGUCAACAGUGUUUGUCCCUGAACAUUUUGGUUCAUGAAUGUUUAAAGCAAGGGUUUUUAGGCCCUCAAGACAGACAUGAUUAACAUUGUUUCCUACUUGGCAUUUGUCCUGAGGAACUAAAAGCAUUGAUUUUUAAAAGUU